UAAUAAGUGUUUUAUGGCACUUCUUAAAUCCAUAUCCACCUUGUGUGCAAUGUCAGUCGAUUUUCUUAUGAGAUCGGCCAAACAUCAACCUUAUCUUUUUAACUGUCUGUCUGAAAACUAUUAUGAAUAAACAAUUCAAAAUA
rnacentral:misc_RNA from 1 species